GUGAGGAAUAUUGCGCAAUGGGGGCAACCCUGACGCAGCAACGCCGCGUGGGUGAAGAAGGCCUUCGGGUUGUAAAGCCCUGUCGAGUGGGACGAAACCUUUCCGGUCGAAUAGGCCGGAGAACUGACUGUACCACAGAAGGAAGCACCGGCUAACUCCGUGCCAGCAGCCGCGGUAAGACGGAGGGUGCAAGCGUUGUUCGGAAUUACUGGGCGUAAAGCGCGUGUAGGCGGUUGGAUAAGUCGGAUGUGAAAGCCCGAGGCUCAACCUCGGAAGUGCAUCCGAAACUGCCCAGCUAGAGUACGGGAGAGGGAAGUGGAAUUCCUGGUGUAGAGGUGAAAUUCGUAGAUAUCAGGAGGAACACCGGUGGCGAAGGCGGCUUCCUGGACCGAUACUGACGCUGAGACGCGAAAGCGUGGGGAGCAAACAGGAUUAGAAACCCCUGUAGUCC
rnacentral:rRNA from 1 species